GGAAGUGAAAUAUCCUAAUGAUGUGGUCUGGAGGAACUACACGUCUUCUUAGAGCCUUCAGCACAUUUGAGUCUGACAGGAAAGAUUAGAACAGUUUUCGAGCAGGUGUCAGACAAAACUAAAUUUAUUUCCAAAUUUAUACUCACUGAUGGUCCCACAGCAGGAAAAUGGCUGAAGCUGAAGUUCUUUACUCUGAUAUUAAGUUCACAAGAGCGAGGGGAAACACAGAUGUGGCCACACCCUCUACAGAUGAACCCAGUUAUUCCGAAGUCAAGAUCUCAAAAACUCAGCGACCUGCAGAGCUGCCUGGCUCCAAACAACCUGCAGCAUCAAGCAGGC